UACAGAGGGUGCUAGCGUUAAUCGGAUUUACUGGGCGUAAAGCGUGUGUAGGCGGUUCGUUAAGUCGGAUGUGAAAGCCCUGGGCUCAACCUAGGAAUUGCAUUCGAUACUGGCGAGCUAGAGUACGGUAGAGGGCGGCGGAAUUCCGGGUGUAGCGGUGAAAUGCGUAGAUAUCCGGAGGAACACCGAUGGCGAAGGCAACCGCCUGGGCCUGUACUGACGCUGAGACACGAAAGCGUGGGGAGCAAACAGG
rnacentral:rRNA from 2 species